rnacentral:rRNA from 1 species
AGUGGCAAACGGGUGAGUAAUACGUAGACAACCUUCCUCUUUGAGGGGGAUAGCCCACCGAAAGGUGGGAUAAUACCGCGUACGAUCUAAGAUUGGCAUCAAUUUUAGAUGAAACAUCCGCAAGGAUGGCAGAGAGACGGGUCUACGGCCUAUCAGCUAGUUGGUGAGGUAAUAGCUCACCAAGGCAACGACGGGUAGCCGACCUGAAAGGGUGAUCGGCCACACUGACACUUAGACACGGGUCAGACUCC